GGCUGGGCUUGAACUCUUAGUCCUCCUGCCUCAGUCUCCCAGACUGUGUCUCCUUUCUUCUGACGCAUAAAUGACUUUUCUCUGUGCACACUGGGGUUAUAGUUUAGGACAAGUUCAUUUUGGGCCUCAGAGUUUAGUGUCCCUUUUCUGUAUCGAUUGACAAGGAUCUGCGAAAAUGACCGGAAGUAUUGUAGGAAGCGGGCCUGGCUGGGGCAGAUGUGCACCCCUGCAGCAGGAGGAGGGAAGGCCUCUUCCAGUCUCCCAGGUGCUCGUAAAUGUGCAUCGGCGCAGGCAGGCCACCCCCCUAACCUCUAUGGUGCUUCUGUAAUGAUAUCUAACAGGCGUUUGAUAAAGCAUGUUAAAUACAUCAAGCAUAACUGAAUGUUGUGUUGGCUAUGAUGUAAUAUGUCUCUCUAACGUUUUGUUUGUAUGUGUAACUGGUGAUUGAACCCAGGGCCCUCUUGCUGAGCUACAUUCUCAGCCUCUUGUAUUUUUUAUUUUGAGACAGGGUCUUACUACGCUGCUAAGUUGUUUAUAGGAAGGAUUUGAACUUCGGAUCCUCCUACCUCAGCCUCCCAGAGUGCUGGGACGACGGGGUUCACCACCACACCCAGCUCCUACAGAUCUUCUGCCAUAAAUAUGUCAUGUUUGAAGGGUCUGCAUGUUUCAGCUUUCCUGCUAACUGUCACCAAGAGAGAGAGGAUACAGCCCUGUCUGUAGGACGUCAUAACUUUGCAGGGCUCAGAGCUGUGUUUACGAAUAAAGUAGAAUACUGUAAUAAGAACACACCAAAUGCCAUCAUACGUGAGGAACCAAGGCUCACUUAGGACAAACGGGAACCUCAGAGCCUGGUGUGUUCUAGGCAUUUAAUACGUUGAACAGAGAUUUGGCACUUGGGCUGGAACCUAGAACUGAUAAAAUGCUAAAAUAUGUCACUGGCAUAGUGAGUCUAUUUAAUUUUGUUAUUUCAGGUUUUUUUAAAGAACAGUUCCUAAGUAUGUGAAUACUAAACUAGCAAGAGAGCACAGGUGUGAAGCCCUGCCCAGGCCCCACCGUUAGCUCUGCCCUUCACCGGUGGGACAGAGCCCACCGAGCUUCCCGAUGUGUGAUGCAGGUGAUCAUAACCACCGCUUAGCAGGAGGACUGGAUCCGCGGGGCCUGUGAAAGUGCUGUGCAACCCGUGUCUUCACUGUUACUUGUGUUAACAUCGAUAAUGCUGAUAAAAGCAGAGGAUCUCUCAUGGAUAAAGAACAGCUGCCUGGUGAUAAAGGAUAAGUAGUAAAGGUUGGGAUUUCUACUUCUGAACAGUGCAGCUGUUUCUCCUAGCGGAUUUAAUUUGGGGGUUUCCUGCCCCUCAAAUUCCAAUACAAAAAUGUGCCCACAGUUUGCUUGUCCAAGAAGCGCAGCUGACUGUCCGUCUCUAUCACCCCAGGCACACAGCGGCCCUCAGGGACUGCGAGGUUCCCGCUCUGCCAGCCCCGGUGCUGGCUGGUUUCUGAGCUCAGGCCCAGGAGUGAAUCAGGAGACCCAGAAUCCACUUUCCAUAGGCGGUGCUGACUACAGCCCAUCGCCCCUGUGGUCUUUUGGCUGGAAGGCAGCAAAUUCCGAAGUCUAGACUGCAGCCUGGCUGACUGGUUCUGCCGGGCCGGAGCAGUGGCGUCCACAGAUGGGCCGCUUGGCUUUUCUGGGGCGGCUUUUGUGUUCUCUUCCUGUGGGUUUCACGUUUGCUGUUUUGCGUAUAACUAGAGCGAUAGAGAAACAGCCAUUGCAGACUUGUCAGGGACUGUGGUGAAAGUUAGGAAUUUGAUAUACUCGUGUCAUUUUUCCUCAUAUAGUAUUUCUUCGCUUCAGGAUGGCAAAGGUGAGCGUUCCUUUUUAAAUCCACAUGCGGACCCCUGGCCCCUGCACGGUCAGCGUGUCUCAUGACGGGAAUUUUAUGUGGCAAACCUCUGGAAGGUCAUUUGAUGUGCGUUUUAUUUUAUUUUUUAAAAAAAAACACGAAACUGGCACCGAUGGAGUCUAAAAUGAUUUCAUGUUUACCCCAGACUUUCAAAUACUGUGGAUGGGUUUGGCUUUGUGUUCCAAAACACUCUGAAUUUUUUUUUUCUUGCUUCCAGUGCCAUUUAAUUCCACAGGACACAAGCCAGGCCAGCGGUGUAAGCCAAGUGGGCUCUGCUCGCUGUUUGCCGUGGAGAUUCUGAAAAGCACAGAGCGAUUCUUCUGCCCCUCAGAGCUGUGACCUCUUUGGCACUACACAACGGAAGCUAGGGCCCAAGUAUUUAAAAUCCUCACCUACGAUUUUGAAAUUUUUGAAGCUGCCGUUCCAGGGAGCCGAAACUUAGAUCCAUGCUCUGGAGGAUGUGAAGGGCCCUUUUCAGGAGUGGUCUUGGAUGGCAUCACACAGG